rnacentral:lncRNA from 1 species
UAAUUCAAUCCAUAAUCCAUUCUAUGAUUAUCAAUUCAAUAAUACUUCUCUCAAUCACAAUUCUUCAUAAGCAAAUAAUAAAGAAAACAAAGAGGUAGCACCAAGCUUACUCUAGCUUAUGACUCUCAGAGUUUGGCUCUUGGCUUACGACUCUCACAGUCAGACUCUCGGCUUAUGACUUUCACACUCUAACCCUGGGCUUUUAACUUUCACAAUCUGGCUUUCGACUUACGAAUCUCACAGUCUGGCUCUUGGCUUACAACUCUCACAGUCUGGCCCUCGGCUUACGAC